UGCAUGUCUGGAAAUUGUGGGGGCUUUAGUUACACGUUUUAUUGAGCAAGGGUGAAAUGGAGAAGUUUACAGAAACUUGGAUCAGAAGGAUUUGUUUACAUCCAACCUGAGUUGAAAGAUGAGGAUAAAAACAGGGAUUCAAAGAGGAUUGGAUAAUUGGAAUGGGAAACGCACAGGAGAUUGAUGACGGAGAACUCGGCAAAUU